CCCUUGUUAAAAUUUGUACUUUGUGGAUACCCAUGGAUCUUGAAACACUUAUCAAUUAAGUGUCCAGAUUUUUUACAGUAUCUACAGAAUAAAGGUCUUUUGGCCUGAUCAAAAUUGACUCUCUGUCUGAAAGGAGAAGGAGGAAUAGGCACUGUGGCCUUGUUAAAUCCAACAGGCUGCGUAUUAGAAUGGACAUUGAAAGAGACAGAGUCAGGAUUAAAGUCAGAAGGAGACUGGACUUGUCUUUGCUUCUCAUCAUUGAGGACCAUAUUAUAGACAUUGUCAAGCUGGACUUGUCUUUGCUUAUCAUCACUGAGGACCAUAUUAUAGACAUUGUCAAGAGUUGGAGGAGGCUGCAUCAUCAUAAAAUUACUCCUUACCCCCAUAUAUGCUUCAUUCAAACCCAUUAAAAACUGAAAGACCUUAUUGUCAUCACUUUCCUGUACUAUGCCAUCUUUGGCAGCACAAACACAUCUUAGACCAUGAUUAACACACAUUGAAUCAAGUUCAUCCCACAGACCUUUUAGCUUAUUAAAAUACGAAGCUAUAUCUAAGGACCCUUGAGAAGUGUGGGACAACUCUGUUUUCAACUCAAAAAUUUUGGUCCUGUUUGCAGUGCCAUAUCUAGCAUGAAGUUGGGACCAUAUAUUUUGUGCAGUAUCAGAAUACUGCACACUUUCAGCAAUUUGUGGGGAGAGGGAGGCAGUUAACCAAGAAAUCACCAUGUUAUUGCACCUAUCCCAUAACCUUUGUUGAGCCACAUUAGUGGCUGGUCGGGAGCACGUCCCAUCAACAAAACCAAUCUUAUUUUUAGCAGAUAAUGGAACAAACAUUUUUCUCCUCCAACCCCCAUAACCAUUUCCCGAGAAGGGAGUAGGAACGAGAGAGACCCCAGGCACAUCAGAGGAGUAUACAAAUAGAGGACUGGUAGAGUCUACCGAGGAGGAGGUACCAGUAUUCGUAUUAGAAGUCAUGAUUAAUGCACCAGUUUGAAAAGAAAAACAGUUUCGACAAGCAAAAUAUCACGAAACCAGAUAUUCACACACGAAGCCAAAUAAUCACACACAAAGUAUACAAUACUCAAGAGAAGUACAGAGUUACCCUCCUUCUUCGCGACCGGAGAAGAUCGGCCUUCA
rnacentral:lncRNA from 1 species